AAAGAUCAAGUUUUAUGUCAAACACACUUGGAUGAGACGUGCCCGACCCCUGACUUUGUCUACCUUACAUUAAGUUGUGAUGGCACACUUCAUGACAGUAAACAUCGGUAUCAAGGUGGUGUGAUUGAUCUAUACCCUAGAAUAAGCUGUGACACUAUGAGACGGUCACAUAAUGAAGAGCCAUCUUCCAGACAACCGGAAGAGGCAUAGUAUUGUUUUCUUGUCUAUUGUCAUGCACCUAAAGAGGAUUUUUGUAAUCGUACAGUUAUGGUGUUAUUCAU